UUUCGUAUACUGUUGACUCGG
rnacentral:piRNA from 1 species